rnacentral:rRNA from 1 species
UACGUAGGGGCCAAGCGUUGUCCGGAUUUAUUGGGCGUAAAGAGCUCGUAGGCGGUUGGGUAAGUCGGGUGUGAAAACUCCAGGCUCAACUUGGAGAUGCCACCCGAUACUGCUCUGACUUGAGUUCGGUAGGGGAGUGGGGAAUUCCUGGUGUAGCGGUGAAAUGCGCAGAUAUCGGGAGGAACACCUAUGGCGAAGGCAGCUCGCUGGGACGUUACUGACGCUGAGACGCGAAAGCGUGGGGAGCAAACAGG